AUGCACGCUGGCGGCGUGCCUCAUCCAUGCAAGUCGAGCGAACAGAUGAGGAGCUUGCUCCUCUGACGUUAGCGGCGGACGGGUGAGUAACACGUGGAUAACCUACCUAUAAGACUGGGAUAACUUCGGGAAACCGGAGCUAAUACCGGAUAAUAUAUUGAACCGCAUGGUUCAAUAGUGAAAGACGGUUUUGCUGUCACUUAUAGAUGGAUCCGCGCCGCAUUAGCUAGUUGGUAAGGUAACGGCUUACCAAGGCAACGAUGCGUAGCCGACCUGAGAGGGUGAUCGGCCACACUAGAACUGAGACACGGUCCAGACUCCUACGGGAGGCAGCAGUAGGGAAUCUUCCGCAAUGGGCGAAAGCCUGACGGAGCAACGCCGCGUGAGUGAUGAAGGUCUUCGGAUCGUAAAACUCUGUUAUUAGGGAAGAACAAAUGUGUAAGUAACUAUGCACGUCUUGACGGUACCUAAUCAGAAAGCCACGGCUAACUACGUG
rnacentral:rRNA from 1 species